CAGAUUCGCCUGAUCAAAGUGAAAUUCCUUCAAUGUCAUUUUCAGAGAGUAUUCAGAUUCAAUUUUGCAAACACAAGACUUGCAGGCGAGAGCCUUCUGGAGUGUGUGACAAUCGUAGAGCUGUACCAGUGAUUGGGAGCGUAAUCGACGCAGAAACCG